GACGAACGCUGGCGGCGUGCCUAACACAUGCAAGUCGAACGGGAUCCAUGAGAGCUUGCUCUCGGAAGAUCUAGUGGCGAACGGGUGAGUAACACGUGAGAAACCUGCCCUGGAGUGGGGAAUAACUCGGGGAAACCCGAGCUAAUACCGCAUACCCUUGGAUGAUCGCAUGGUCGACCAAGGAAGAUUUAUCGCUCUAGGAGGGUCUCGCGGCCCUAUCAGCUAGUUGGUGGGGUAAUGGCCUACCAAGGCAACGACGGGUAGCUGGUUUGAGAGAACGAUCAGCCACACUGGGACUGAGACACGGCCCAGACUCCUACGGGAGGCAGCAGUGGGGAAUCUUGCGCAAUGGGCGAAAGCCUGACGCAGCAACGCCGCGUGCGGGAUGACGGCCUUCGUGGUUGUAAACCGCUUUCAGCAGGGACGAAAAUGACGGUACCUGCAGAAGAAGACCCCGGCGUAACUACGUGCCAGCAGCCGCGGUAAU
rnacentral:rRNA from 1 species